CCCCUUUGUCAUCAACAAAAGGAGAAGUAGCUCUAGCUAUUUUAAAAGAUAUGCAAGUUUUUGUAACAUGAAGCUAGAUUUUCAUCAUAACAUAUAAGCACAAAAGCAUAGCAAGAUUCUUAAGUUCAAUCAUGGCAAUUCAACACUUGCUUCUUGUGCAAGAUUGCACUUUACUUUUCUUUGCAUGUUCUAACUAGCAAAAGC
rnacentral:lncRNA from 1 species